AGGACGAACGCUGGCGGCGUGCUUAACACAUGCAAGUCGAACGGAAAGGCCCUGCUUUUGUGGGGUGCUCGAGUGGCGAACGGGUGAGUAACACGUGAGUAACCUGCCCUUGACUUUGGGAUAACUUCAGGAAACUGGGGCUAAUACCGGAUAGGAGCUCCUGCUGCAUGGUGGGGGUUGGAAAGUUUCGGCGGUUGGGAUGGACUCGCGGCUUAUCAGCUUGUUGGUGGGGUAGUGGCUUACCAAGGUCUUUGACGGGUAGCCGGCCUGGAGAGGGUGACCGGCCACAGUUGGGACU
rnacentral:rRNA from 1 species